AACCUCUGCCUCCUGGAUUCAAGCAGUUCUACUGCCUCAGCCUUCCGAGUAGCUGGGAUUACAGAUUUCGUGUGAAGUGCAGAAGCACCGUCGUAGAAGCAGAGAAGCAGAGAUGCAGAGGCAGCACUGGUGACUCACACAUGGAGAGCUGGAGUUCUUGGUCUAGUGGGAUAAGCUGACAUGGACAUCAUUUCAGUGCAGCGGAAGCAAGUCUAUCAUCUCUUUUGGAUGGAGUGUGGCCAGCCCUGCCUUG